AAUAUAUUUUGUUAGGUGAGGCUCCUAUAUGGAUAUAUGCUACUGCCCAAAAAUGUCGAGAGACGCCAAUGGGUGAACAGGAUAAGCCGAAAUAAGGCAAUCUUAAUGUAGCUAAAUUUAUAUUUUAACGACAUAUAGUGCUAAAACUCGACGAAUGACGGAUAAA
rfam:Atopostipes suicloacalis DSM 15692 genome assembly, contig: EJ15DRAFT_scaffold00014.14